rnacentral:rRNA from 1 species
GGCAGCGGGAAAGUAGCUUGCUACUUUUGCCGGCGAGCGGCGGACGGGUGAGUAAUGCCUGGGAAAUUGCCCAGUCGAGGGGGAUAACAGUUGGAAACGACUGCUAAUACCGCAUACGCCCUACGGGGGAAAGCAGGGGACCUUCGGGCCUUGCGCGAUUGGAUAUGCCCAGGUGGGAUUAGCUUGUUGGUGAGGUAAUGGCUCACCAAGGCGACGAUCCCUAGCUGGUCUGAGAGGAUGAUCAGCCACACUGGAACUGAGACACGGUCCAGACUCCUACGGGAGGCAGCAGUGGGGAAUAUUGCACAAUGGGGGAAACCCUGAUGCAGCCAUGCCGCGUGUGUGAAGAAGGCCUUCGGGUUGUAAAGCACUUUCAGCGAGGAGGAAAGGUUGAUGCCUAAUACGCAUCAGCUGUGACGUUACUCGCAGAAGAAGC